rnacentral:rRNA from 1 species
AGUGGCAAACGGGUGAGUAACACGUGGGUGACCUGCCUUCGAGUGGGGGAUAACGUCCCGAAAGGGACGCUAAUACCGCAUAACAUCCUGCCGUUGAACCGGUGGACAUCAAAGCUGGGGACCGCAAGGCCUGGCGCUUGAGGAGGAGCUUGCGGCAGAUUAGCUAGUUGGUAAGGUAAUGGCUUACCAAGGCUACGAUCUGUAACCGGUCUAAGAGGACGGUCGGUCACACUGACACUGAAUAACGGGUCAGACUCCUACGGGAGGCAGCAGUCGGGAAUUUUGGGCAAUGGGCGAAAGCCUGACCCAGCAACGCCGCGUGAAGGAUGAAGUAUUUCGGUAUGUAAACUUCGAAAGAAUGGGAAGAAUCAAUGACGGUACCAUUUAUAAGGUCCGGCUAACUACGUGCCAGCAGCCGCGGUAAUACGUAGGGACCAAGCGUUGUUCGGAUUUACUGGGCGUAAAGGGCGCGUAGGCGGCCCUACAAGUCACUUGUGAAAUCUCCGGGCUUAACUCGGAACGGCCAAGUGAAACUGUAGAGCUAGAGUGUGGAAGGGGCAAUCGGAAUUCUUGGUGUAGCGGUGAAAUGCGUAGAUAUCAAGAGGAACACCUGAGGUGAAGACGGGUUGCUGGGCCAACACUGACGCUGAGGCGCGAAAGCCAGGGGGAGCAACGGGGAUUAGAUACCCCGGUAGUCCUGGCCCUAAACGAUGAAUACU